GUUGAUGUUAUGAUAAUGCUGCAGACUGUAAGAAGGAGACACCAAUUUUCUAGCAUCCUUUUGCUUCCAUCUUUGCAUUUCUUUCUUACUGUACAAGAUAAUUCAGGUUCAGUCUGUUUUCUCCAGAGUCUUUCUUAUAAUGAUGUUGAUGAUUCAUUUUUCAUUCAUUCCAUGUUAACUGUGAAUGUAUCACGUCUGUCUGUUUAUCCUUCUCCUUCACAUUUGCAGGUUCAGAUGUCAGAUCAUGAUUCAGUCUGUUACAUGGCUAUGAUUCUGGUGGCUUUUCUGUCGUCCUCUGUUUGUUUUAUCUUGCCAUCUUUAACAGCAUCCAUUGUGUCAGUCAGUGGUUCUG